GGUAAUUCCAGCUCCAAUAGUGUAUAUUAAAGUUGUUGUGGUUAAAAAGCUCGUAGUUGGAUCUCGGCAGGCAGGGGGCGGUCCGUUAUUUGACGCGACUGCCCCGUUUGCCUGUGUUUCUUUGGCGGAACUCGCAGGGUGCUCUUCGCCGAGUGUCCUGUCGGGGCCGCCGGGUUUACUUUGAAAAAAUUAGAGUGCUCCAAGCAGGCUCGACACGCCUGAAUAUCCGUGCAUGGAAUAAUGGAAUAGGACGUCGUUCCUAUUUUGUUGGUUUUAGGGAAUCGACGUAAUGAUUAAUAGGGACAGCCGGGGGCAUUAGUAUUCAGACGACAGAGGUGAAAUUCUUGGACCGUCUGGCGACUCACUGCUGCGAAAGCGUUUGCCAAGUAUGUUUUCAUUAAUCAAGAACGAAAGUUAGAGGUUCGAAGGCGAUCAGAUACCGCCCUAGUUCUAACCAUAAACGAUGCCAGCUAGCGAUCUGCGGGCGUUUUUAUUGUAGGCCCCGCAGGAAGCUUCCGGGAAACCAAAGCUUUUGGGUUCCAGGGAAAGUAUGAUUGCAAAAUUGAAAUUUAAAGAAAUUGACGGAACGGCACCACCAGGCGUGGAACUUGCGGCUUAAUUUGACUCAACACUGGAAAUCUCACCAGGCCCGGACACCGGAAGGAUUGACAGAUUGAGAGCUCUUUCUCGAUUCGGUGGGUGGUGGUGCAUG
rnacentral:rRNA from 1 species